UCCUUACCCUCUCCCUGUAGGUCCUUACCCUCUCCCUGUAGGUCCUUACCCUCUCCCUGUAGGUCAUUACCCUCUUCCUGUAGGUCCUUACCCUCUACCUGUAGGUCCUUCCCCUCCCUGUAGGUCCAUGUCCUUGCCCUCUUCCUGUAGGUCAUUGUCCUUACCCUCUUCCUGUAGGUCCAUGUCCUUACCCUCUUCCUGUAGGUCCGUGUCCUUACCCUCUCCCUGUAGGUCCUUACCCUCUCCCUGUAGGUCCAUGUCCUUACCCUCUUCCUGUAGGUCCUUACCCUCUCCCUGUAGGUCCUGUAGGUCCUUACCC